UGCCUUUGAGGAGCUUACUGUCUACUGGCA
rnacentral:piRNA from 1 species